rnacentral:rRNA from 1 species
UACGUAGGGUGCGAGCGUUGUCCGGAAUUAUUGGGCGUAAAGGGCUCGUAGGCGGUUUGUCGCGUCGGGAGUGAAAACCUUGGGCUUAACUCAGGGCUUGCUUUCGAUACGGGCAGACUAGAGGUAUGCAGGGGAGAACGGAAUUCCUGGUGUAGCGGUGAAAUGCGUAGAUAUCUGGAGGAACACCGGUGGCGAAGGCGGCAUCCUGGACCGGUAUUGACGCUGAGGCGCGAAAGCUAGGGGAGCAAACGGG